GACGAACGCUGGCGGCGUGCCUAAUACAUGCAAGUUGAGCGCUGAAGGUUGGUACUUGUACCGACUGGAUGAGCAGCGAACGGGUGAGUAACGCGUGGGGAAUCUGCCUUUGAGCGGGGGACAACAUUUGGAAACGAAUGCUAAUACCGCAUAAAAACUUUAAACACAAGUUUUAAGUUUGAAAGAUGCAAUUGCAUCACUCAAAGAUGAUCCCGCGUUGUAUUAGCUAGUUGGUGAGGUAAAGGCUCACCAAGGCGAUGAUACAUAGCCGACCUGAGAGGGUGAUCGGCCACAUUGGGACUGAGACACGGCCCAAACUCCUACGGGAGGCAGCAGUAGUGAAUCUUCGGCAAUGGACGAAAGUCUGACCGAGCAACGCCGCGUGAGUGAAGAAGGUUUUCGGAUCGUAAAACUCUGUUGGUAGAGAAGAACGUUGGUGAGAGUGGAAAGCUCAUCAAGUGACGGUAACUACCCAGAAAGGGACGGCUAACUACGUG
rnacentral:rRNA from 1 species